rnacentral:rRNA from 1 species
UACGUAGGGUGCAAGCGUUGUCCGGAAUUAUUGGGCGUAAAGAGCUCGUAGGCGGUUUGUCGCGUCUGCUGUGAAAACUCGGGGCUUAACUCCGGGCCUGCAGUGGGUACGGGCAGACUAGAGUGCGGUAGGGGAGACUGGAAUUCCUGGUGUAGCGGUGGAAUGCGCAGAUAUCAGGAGGAACACCAGUGGCGAAGGCGGGUCUCUGGGCAGGAACUGACGCUGAGGAGCGAAAGCGUGGGGAGCGAACAGG